UACGUAGGGUGCAAGCGUUGUCCGGAAUUAUUGGGCGUAAAGAGCUCGUAGGCGGUUCGUCGCGUCGGCUGUGAAAUCCCGAGGCUCAACCUCGGGUCUGCAGUCGAUACGGGCGGACUGGAGUUCGGUAGGGGAGACUGGAAUUCCUGGUGUAGCGGUGAAAUGCGCAGAUAUCAGGAGGAACACCGGUGGCGAAGGCGGGUCUCUGGGCCGAUACUGACGCUGAGGAGCGAAAGCGUGGGGAGCGAACAGG
rnacentral:rRNA from 1 species